rnacentral:lncRNA from 1 species
UCUUUUCCCUUUUCUUUUCUACUUCCCAUUUUUCCUUUCCCCCCUUUUUCUUCCUAGUAUCAGAUUAAUUAGACUCCGGGUAUAUCGUAUUGCGGACUCCGGAGGCAAUACUCACAGGGAAAAUACGAGGUUUCCACUAAAGACUUGAUCCUAUGUAUCCUAGUGGCUCCUCUUCCAUCUCUAUCUAUCACAUAUUGCUCGAAUAUUCCUAGCACUGGAGUGUCCUGACUCCUGAGCCCCUCCCCCCACACUACCUUGUUGGUCCUACUUUGCGGCUUUUUGAACACCUUAGCUCGUUGCCCUAACUCGUUGACCGUAUUUUGGCCAGACCACCUGUCAUAAUCCUAUGGAUCCCACGUCCGUGGUAGAUUUUCCAAAGUUUGUGUCGAGCCAAACCACACAACCACACCGCACAGAACGUGGCUUUUCCAAGUGGCGUCGCUAGCAAGUAACACGACCACACACUCGUUUUUGGACCGAAAACCCGGCAGUAGUAUUUACUCACGUACAUCAGUCAGUCAAAACAAAGAUAGCGAGGAUCAUGUCAGCCAUGGAUACCCGACGCUUAUUUGACAGCGUCGACACCGCCGCUUCGUGGUUCGUGCCAAUGAUGCUUGAGAUUUACCAUGGCGACGGGUAAAUUGAGAACACAUUGUUGGUAGAGGUUCUAGUUUGCCUUGUUAGGGUUGCACGACAAACAUAUUCUUCAGACCUUCGUCCUACCGGUUCUCCUCUCAUAUUAGCCAGAGUGAUCUCAGCACUUUUCUCGGGGAGAAUUUUACAAUGUAACAGGCUUUCAUGCUUGAGAAUGAACAUGAACAAUGACUUUCAUAUUUGGACAUCUGCAGGCUAGAACAACAAGGCUAUUCUUCAGCUCAUCGUGAUUAUUUCUUAAUAUCCCUCCAACCCCGGCAUUUAAGAUGGGAACUAUUAUUGACGAUCCCGCAAAUAGACUUGCUGCAGAUCCGCACUGAUCAAGCUAAGCACCCAGCACCGAUCAGCCAAACGAGCACUGCUGCACAUGACAGUGGUUGCUCUAAAACUAACGCGGGUGCCGACAGAUAACCGUCUGCCUGGGAUGUUAUGGGCUUCCGCUGGCCCAUACUCACUUCUUCUCUGGCAAGUUAACAAUGAGAUUGAACGUAGACAAGCGGACCGUGGGCAGAUAGAAUGGCCAAGAAAUAUAAUACACAAAUGCUUAAUAGAAGAACACCAAGACAGAAUUCUUCUUGAUUAGUGGUAUGGAUGAAACUUGCAUUGCAGGUGGAUCUGAAUGUGGCUGGCGUAAACACUUCUGCUGGCGUGAUCCUCAGUCGGCGUUAUUCGAAUG